UACGAAGGGGGCUAGCGUUGCUCGGAUUGACUGGGCGUAAAGGGCGCGUAGGCGGUUCGUACAGUCAGACGUGAAAUUCCUGGGCUCAACCUGGGGGCUGCGUUUGAUACGUGCGGACUUGAGUGCGGAAGAGGGUCGUGGAAUUCCCAGUGUAGAGGUGAAAUUCGUAGAUAUUAGGAGGAACACCAGAGGCGAAGGCGGCUUUCUGGCUCGUAACUGACGCUGAGGCGCGAAAGCGUGGGGAGCAAACAGG
rnacentral:rRNA from 1 species